UCCCCUCUCCACUUUCCCUUUGCAAAACACAAAUUUCUUUCGAUUUCUGAGUAAUCAACUUUGCGUUUAUCACUUCUUCCAUAGUUGUUGGAACGAAAGAUAUUUUGCAUCAAAUCAUGGGAUUUUACGUUGAAGCUUGCAACCUUAAAGCGACGUAAAAUGUUUAAGGACAAACUUCUUCAAUACAGUCAAGUUCAACAAAAAUUUAGGUAAUCAUACGUGCUUAAAAUCGGGUGGAACUUGCAAAUAAAAAGGAAAAAUUAAAGCUGAAAUUUGACUAGCAUUGGAGUGGUACACUAAAACUCCAGAACAACAAUCUAAAGUUGGAUAGCAUUGGAGUUAGCAUUAAAGCAGCGUUGGAGUCAACAUCUAAGACACCAUCUUCAACACCAUGGUGUAAAGUGUCCGAAAGAUUAGUAUUUUAACACAUAUUUAAAGGAGACUCAACCCUAAUCAAAAAGCUUCUUAUCCCCCUAUGAUUUUCCUGCAUUUUAGAGGCUUGAAAACAAAUUCAAACCUUCUCCAAACACGUUUGUAACCACUCCAAUCCGGAUUCAAUGCGAGAUUUCAACGAAAUCAUCAUCAAGCAAGGAUCAUUCAAUCGGUAGAUCAUCAUCAAUUCCAUUAAGUUUCAAAUUUUAUCACUUCUUCCUCAAGGUUUUAUUGUUUCAAUGUUUGAUAAUCAUUAGGUUACAGUUGCUUUAUGAUUGCAAGUUUGUUUAUGGACUUUAUUAGUCAUUUUAUAAUUUUCAUUCAAGUUAUUGGUUUUAUGAACUCAAUGGAAGGCUAAACCAUUAGGGUUA